AUUGAACGCUGGCGGCAUGCCUUACACAUGCAAGUCGAACGGUAACGGGCCUUCGGGUGCCGACGAGUGGCGAACGGGGGAGUAAUACAUCGGAACGUGCCCGAUCGUGGGGGAUAAAGAGGCGAGGGCUGUGCUAAUAUCGCAUACGAUCUACGGAUGAAAGCGGGGGGCCGCAAGGGCUUGCGCGGACGGAGCGGCCGAUGGCUGAUUUGGUAGUUGGUGGGAUAAAAGCCUUCCAAGCCGACGAUCUGUGGAUGGUCUGAGAGGAUGAUCAGCCACACUGGGACUGGGACACGGCCCAGACUCCUACGGGAGGCAGCAGUGGGGAAUUUUGGACCAUGGGCGCAAGCCUGAUCCAGCCAUGCCGCGUGGAGGAUGAAGGCCUUCGGGUUGUAAACUGCUUUUGUACGGAACGAAAAGCCUUCUUUUAAUACAGGAGGGUCAUGACGGUACCGUAAGAAUAAGCACCGGCUAACUACGUG
rnacentral:rRNA from 1 species